CGCAGAGCAGGACAGGGUGGCGCGGGCGCCCGGGCUGCGGGGCCGAGGGCGUCGUCAGGGGAGGCCCGAGGCCGCGGUGCCUGCGGGCAGGCGCGGAGGUUGCGUGGCGUCCUGCGCUAGCGGUUCCCGGACACUGCGCUCGCGUCGCAUCCUCAGGUGGUUGCAGAAGUUUCGUGGUGUCGGGCGUGCGUCUGCACUGCUGACGCGGAGGGUUUGGGAGCGACCAGUUUCCUGCCCAGGGAUGGGGGUCCCGGCUGCACUUCACGGGGGCGGCCCUUUCGUUUCGCUCUGCGUGACAGGUCUCGCUUGAUUGGGUUUCUCAUGGGUCUCUGACUGGCGUUUCUACGGCGCGGCUCUCACGGACUCAGGCCAGGCCACUCGCAGGAUUAAUUGGAAUUCUUCAAAAUGUCGGGUGUGGUACCCACAGCCCCUGAACAGCCUGCAGGUGAAAUGGAAAAUCAAACAAAAGCACCAGAUCCAAGGCCUGAUGCUCCUCCUGAAUACAAUUCUCAUUUUUUACCAGGACCCCCUGGAACAGCUGUCCCUCCACCUACUGGCUACCCAGGAGGCUUGCCUAUGGGAUACUACAGUCCACAGCAACCCAGUACCUUCCCUUUGUACCAGCCAGUUGGUGGUACCCAUCCUGUCCGGUAUCAGCCUGGCAAAUAUCCUAUGCCAAAUCAGUCUGUUCCAAUAACAUGGAUGCCAGGGCCAACUCCUAUGGCAAACUGCCCUCCUGGUCUGGAAUACUUAGUUCAGUUGGACAACAUACAUGUUCUUCAGCAUUUUGAGCCUCUGGAAAUGAUGACAUGUUUUGAAACUAAUAAUAGAUAUGAUAUUAAAAACAACUCAGACCAGAUGGUUUACAUUGUAACCGAAGACACAGAUGACUUUACCAGGAAUGCCUAUCGGACACUAAGGCCCUUCGUCCUCCGUGUCACUGAUUGUAUGGGCCGAGAAAUCAUGACAAUGCAGAGACCCUUCAGAUGCACCUGCUGUUGCUUCUGUUGCCCCUCUGCCAGACAAGAGCUGGAGGUGCAGUGUCCUCCUGGUGUCACCAUUGGCUUUGUUGCGGAACAUUGGAACCUGUGCAGGGCGGUGUACAGCAUCCAAAAUGAGAAGAAGGAAAAUGUGAUGAGAGUUCGUGGGCCAUGCUCAACCUAUGGCUGUGGUUCAGAUUCUGUUUUUGAGGUCAAAUCCCUUGAUGGUGUAUCCAACAUCGGCAGUAUUAUCCGGAAGUGGAAUGGUUUGUUAUCAGCAAUGGCAGAUGCUGACCAUUUUGACAUUCACUUCCCACUAGACCUGGAUGUGAAGAUGAAAGCCAUGAUUUUUGGAGCUUGCUUCCUCAUUGACUUCAUGUAUUUUGAAAGAUCUCCACCACAACGUUCAAGAUAGAGAGACACAGCAAGCCAUCAACUAUGGUUAAUUUUGAAAAAUGGAAAAGUUGGAUUGGGCUUACAGUCAGCACUCAGUUAUUUGCAAGUGUAUUUCUUUGCUUUGUAGAGUAUUUUUAUUGGGUGUUAACUUUGACAGCUGAGAGUGGGCUUGCAAGAACACAGUCUAAAAGUGUGUUUCAAUUGAGUAUCUCUCUAGUAGAAUAGGAGUUCAUCCUAAAAAGCUGUGACUCAUUAACCCAGUAAACAUAUACAAAGUAAGCUUAAAACACUAUAAACAUGAGAUAAGGGAAAAUGAAUCCAGAGUUCUCAAUAUGAGUGAAUAGGUAGUGAAAUAAUAAGGCUUUUUAGAGCAGACUUUGUUGGGAUAAAAAAACCUGGCUUCUAUCCCUAACCCUUUCCUACCUUUCCUCUCCGUCAACAUGUCCUCAUACUGAAGACAAACUUGUUUCAAUGAUAGUCUUCAUUUUUAAAAACAAAAAGGCAGGCAGACAGAAAUAAUGAUGUUUUCUUGUACUAAGAAGGUACUACUUGUACACAUAUAUCAAAACCUCAUUCUGCAAAGUUUUUGAAGGUUUCAAUGGGAAAUUUGAUUUUAUUACAAAAUAAAACAUUUUUUAAUGUUAAAGUUUAUAUAUUCCAUGCUUGUUUUCUCAUUCACUGGCAUGGAUGAUCAGGAGCUGCCUAUAUAUGAAGGCAGAAUCAGACUAUCAGGAAAGGAGCUGGCCAGGGCCACAGCCAAUGAAGAUCUCUGAGCAACUUAGAGACAUUGGUGUCAUUAUAUGAAGCUUGCAUUUAAUACAUUUAUACAUAAUACAUUUGUACAUUUAAUUCGUAACGUCUCUUGGUCACAGAUGCCUUAUAUAUAAAAUAAGUUGCCAAAUCUCUAAGAUUGCCUAGUACACCUUUGUAUUUCAUUUGAUGUGAUACCCAGAAGAGAUCAUUGUUUUUUGUUUUUGUUUUUGUUUUUUUCAAGAAGAUCCUUCGUGAUCACCAUGCUGUUCUCAUGAGGAAGAGCAAACCUCAUCAAGAGGUGAUAGUACCAAGAAGAUGAAAUGCUAUAAGGAGUCCCUGCUAUAAUUGUAAUGAAAGAAAACCAAAGGGUUGGAUAAAAGGUGAGAUACACGAAAUCUCCUAGAGCUAGAGGAGCUACUUCCACCUAGCGGUGGAACUUAGUUAAUGCAAGAAUUUCUAGAGCUGCGCAGUCUCAAGGUUCCAACCAGAAAUCUGAUGAGGCCAAUCGUCCUAAUCCUGUGUCCCAGCUGCCCAGAGCAGGUUCGUGGUGAGUGUUCACUAGUGUGUGUAAUGAGGGUGGGGAAGGUGCUAGAGCUGGGGAGAUGGUAAUGCCUUUGCACAUAGUAUCUAAACAAAAAACUUAAAUUGCAAAUUCUGAAAACAUGUACUGCCAUUAGCUAGCUUAAUAGUUGCCUAUUACAUUUCUUGCCGUUCUUACUUGUACUGCUCCUCAGCAAAGAAGCCAGUUGUGAAAUCAUGUAAUUUGGGGAUAUAUAAUUGCUAUCUUUACCCAAAGAUUUAACUCUAGGCCAGAUGUUGGACAUUCAUCUGGGGCACAUGGAGAAAAAGCAACCUAAUCAUGAGAUAGGUGGGAUGAUGCAACUACCUAUAAUAACAAUAGUGAAAAUGAUGAAGACUAUAAAACCAGCCAGCUCUAUUUAAUGCUUGCUACAAACCAGACACUGUUCUAGUUCUAAAGACUUUCCAUAUAUUAACCCAUUUAAUUCUCAUAACCCUAUGAGUUAGAUUACUAUAAUGAUUCCCAUUUUACAAAAUAGAAAAUGAAGAUUUAGGUAUCUUGCACAAGGCCACUCAGCUAGCUGUAUAUCCACAAAGCCAUUAUUUGACUGCCCAAAGCACUGAGAAGCAAAAAGAAUAAAGCUGGAGGCAUUACAUAACCUGACUUCAAAUUAUAUUACAAAGCUGUAGUAACCAAAACAUCAUAGUACCGGUAUAAACAUCCAGAGGCUACACUCCAAAUUUUUAUGCCCUGUUUUUCUUUCAUCUCUGUGUAAUAUUUGGUUUCUUUGUCUGUUAACCCAGAAAUACAGGGAAACAGAAAUAGAGGAGAAAGGUGGCAUGCUACUUCAUGUGUUUUAAAAUUUAGGACUAUGACCGGGAAACGCAAGAGACUCAGAAGUCUUGUCUGAGGGUAGCUGUCUCCAGAGAGGCUUACCUUUGCUCCUAUUGGUGCCUCAGUGGUGUUGCCAGCUGAUGACCAUUUUUUUAUAUUAUUUCUUCAGUUUGGUGUUUCCCAAGUCAUGUAUGUAUUUCAAAUAUGAACCCCUAAAUGAUGUGGACAUAUACUGGUUUAUGAAUUCUCAGGGAACAAAUUUUCCCUACCUGUAGCAGAGGUCAAAACAAUCAAGCUUUCUCUUAAUUUUUAUUUGCCAAUUUUUCUAUUUCACUUUUUACACUGGAGUGUGUCCCUUUGAGACUUUCCACUUUACUGGGGGUCUCUCUUCUAAUAUCAACCCUUGCCUAAACCCAAGACCUCACUUCCAGCCUCAUGGUGGUGGGUAAAAUCAAAGCCCCUUCCUAAUAAACAUUGGUGACUCCUUCCAUUUGAGAAGCCAAAGAAAAUGCCAGACUAAGCUUAAUAGUCAGAUGUUUCCAAUUAUUCUUUAUUUUUAACUUCUGCUAAAAUCUUGUACUCUCCCAAAAUCUACACUUUGCAUCUAAAUGCCCUUUGGUUAUAUUUCAGCCACACUUUAUAUAUUCUAUGGAAAGAGGGGUUUUAAGAUUAUCUAGUUUGCAACAUUGCUAGCAAUGUGAGUGACCUAUUUUUUUAAACUGCACAUGAUUUUUACGUGAAAUAUUCAGAGGAAAAUUCUUUAACAUAAAUAUAAUCAUAUAAUAUUGAAACUUGCAACUUAUUACUAUUUGUUAUACCUAACUUACAACUAAAUAUUUUCUCUUUGAGAUGAGUUAUCUAUCAUCGUAUUAUUGAGUUCCAGAUUCUCUUAAAAUGUUUAAUAUUUCUAGUACUACUGUUAAGUAAAAGACAUUUAUUUAAAAUUGUGUCAGCUCUUCUAUGACCCAGGCUUAGGCAAAUUUAUUUUAGGAAAUUAUAGGAGCAAUCUUUUCCUUAAACAGUUUUGAAAACAUGUUGCUCAAAUUGUCUUAGUUAACAAUCACUAAACAUAAUUUACAUGAGUUUUAACUUUUUUCAUUAUAACAGAUAAAAGAUAACAUAGUUAGAAAUCAAACCAUUUUAAAACCUCUUGAUUUUACAGAAAUAAACAAGUAGAGAGUGCCAGGGAGAAGCGAGUGACAAAAUAUUUAUCUGGCUUUGCUGCCUUUCCCGGCUCCGUGUCAGAAAGCUGAAUAAAACAAGCUACAAUAGGGGGCAGCACCAGCUCAUGGAUUUUUUUGUUAAACUAUGCUCUUUUUAAUCCAAGAAUUUAUCAGUACCAAUCUAUAAAUUUUAAUGAAUAGUAUCAGUGGAUUUUAAAAUCAGAAGAAGUAUUAAGGACCAUCUGCUCUACAUUCUAAUAUACAAAUGAAGGAAGUGGGAGAGGCCCAGAUUAUGUGUCUAAAAUUACAUUGAGAAUUAACUAGUAAUCAAACCAGAACUAAAAACACAGAUCGCCAUUUUAAUUCCAGUUUCCGUGCCGCCACAGCAAAAAUUUAGCAGAGAUUUAAAACAUUUUAAAGCAACAUCUUUCAUAACAUUGAGAUUUUAAGCAUGAAAAAAAUAAAACCCAGUUUCAAAUUAUUCUAAUGUUCAAAAUCUUUUUUAAGCACAUACUCAUGGUGUCUACCUCAAUAAAUCAUUAAUUUCAGAGGUUUUCUAACUAUAAAGAGAAAUGAAAUUACUAUGUUAUAAAAACAACAACAAAACAUUUAAAAUGUGUAUGUCCUAGGUAACAUAGAGUAUUUUUUAUUUAUUCUUCCACUCAUACACUGAUAUACCUUUAUCUUCUUCCGUAGUCACCAUGCACAUCUGAGUUCAAUUUCUUUAUUAAAAUAUGUAUUUUUACAUUUUUUGUUAAAAACUAUUAAUUGAUAGAUUUUCCUGCUUUGAAGGGAUGUAAUUGUUAGUUAAAAUGAGAAUGUCAGAUGGGCAUAGACAGAAUCAAGCCAUUAUUUGAAUAGGAAAAGGAAAAUAUGGCUAAUGGGCAUGGAAUACAAUCUGCCCACAUAUGACCCAGGCUGCCUACUGGCCUGAUAGAUGACAUCGAAUGGACCAUAUGGCUGGGGAUGUGGGGAUAUUUUUUCAAAAGUCUGGCAAAUCAGAUGACAGCCAUGAAGAUUUUUCCUGGCCAUGUUCAGGGUUCAUUUUAUUCCUUUGAAUUACUUAGAUAUUACUGUUUUUUCUAAUAUUUAUAACAUUUCUAUUUUUUUUCUGUUUGUUGUGUUUGUGUAUCUCUCUUAAUUCUAUAUGGCUUUAUGCAUUUCUGUUUACAGAGUAGUCAUGCUACCUGUUUGAGUUACAAUCAGAGGGCCUGCCUGGACAUAGAAAUCAGGGAGAGAUUAUAUCGUUUACUUCAAUGAUAGCUCUGUAACUUUCAAAAGGAAACUAUGUUUAUAUUGCUGGUAUUUUGAGAGAUUACUUUGUCAGUGAAAUCCAUUGAGAAAUAGGUAUCGGAGGAAAACAGAAAUCAUUUUUAUCCUGAUAAGGCUGUUAUAAGGAUAUGCCAUAUAUUCUGGCAACAAUAGGUUUGCAGAAUGAUAUAGAAUCAGUUACCCUCCCUGUCUCAGGCAGAGGUGGAAAAACAGAGGGGUUCCUGGUAGAGGCUUGUCUCUCUAAUACUACCCCAUGGAGUAGGUAGGACUAUGUGUGCCCUUCAGACAGGCUGCCUCCCCAAAGAGAGACAAAAAGAAGGAAUUGAACUACUCAUGCUCAGUUUUUUCUUUCAGAGGGCAGAGAAUGGUCAGGAGUGUUCUGUAAUGUCACUAUCUCACAUGGGAAUGUCAGGAGUGGGGAAUGAUUGUGGGAGAGGUGUGCUUGUCUGUUGAAGUCUUCCCUAAUGUUAUAGCUUCUGAUUUCAUUGAUUCACAUUGAAGCCUGGAAUAAACACAGUAUUUCCUUUCAGCUAGGUGUGGAAACAUGGCAAAGUUCUGGCCCAUUAAAAGUGAAGUGUGGCAACUUCUUUAAAAGAUAAGUGGUGUGUAUCUUUUGCUGCUAUUUAUUCUUUCCUGCUUCUUGUGGACUCCAGUGUCAAUGUGAAGGCUGGCAGCAAAACACCUUUCUUGGACCAUGAGCUGAUCUUGGGAAUGUGAACCAUGAAUAGUAGAACAACAAGAUAGAAGAAACUUGGGUUGCUGAGGAUUUCUUAGAUAAAGUAAUGUCACCACAGAGCUGCCAUAUGAUUCCUAGACUGUUUUCACUUAAGGAAUAAAAUGUUUAAAUAAAAUUUUUUGGAGGGGCCUCUUAUCUGCAUCUAAACCCAAUAAUAAAAUACUUAUCUCCCAACAUACAAGCUUUUAAAAUAUGUAAGCCCUAAGUCAGAUGUUCAUUUUAAAAAAUAUAUCUAAGGGUUGAUAAAUUUAACCUAAUUGAUUGUUACAAUUUUUCUAUCUAUGACACAUUCUUUUCAGAGUAUAAGCAUAUAAUUCUCCAUAUUUUGGUAAAUAAAUGAUUAAAGAUUUUGGUAAAUGAUUAAAAAUAAUUAAAAAGUUAAAAAUAGAUCAAGGUUUUAAUAGCAGAUACCUCUAGAAAGUAGAUUUUGGGAGUUCAUAUUUAUUUUAGAUUUUUCCGCAUUGCUUGAAUUUAUAAGAAAAAUAUUAAUUUCAUAAUUUAAAAAAUUAAACUUUUUGAGAUCUAUUAUAACUAGAAAUGACAUUUCUAUACCUGGAAAGGCCAUGGGAUGCCAUUUUUAGGCUACAAUUUAGGGCUCUCUAAUGAAGAAACAUUAAAAUUUACUGAAAACUUUAUAGUAAUAGCAAUACAAGGGUCUUGCCUGUAGACAUUGAUUUAAUUGUUCUUGGUGGGAUCUGGGCAUGGGUAUACUUAAAAGUUCCCCAGAUGUUUGUUACAUGUAGGGAAAGUUAAGAAGCACUGGACAUCAGUCACCAGCUCCUCACUGUUGUACAUGAGUCACCUGGAAUACUUUGAAAAAAAUCCCACACCCUGGCAGAAUUCCAGAGCCACUGCACUGGCAUCUGGAGUUCUUCAGGUGAUUCUAAUGUCAAGACAAGUUUGGGAACAGCUGUUACUGCCUGAAAGCCUCCAGGAAACUUUCCCUCAAUUUGUAUGUAAGCCAAUAAAAUAAACUCUCUUGCUUUUAUCUGUGUUUUUAGCCAAGUUGCUAGAUAAAAUACAGGUCCUAUUAAAUGUGAAUUUCAGACAUCAAUUUUUAGUAAAAGAAUGUCAUACUUUUAAGACACACAGAAUUUAAGACACACAGAAAAAUUAUUCAUUGUUUAUUUGAAUGUCCUUGAAUGCGAUCAAAUUUAAUUGGGGUGGGUACUUCCUGUAUUUCCCAAUAUUUUUAUGUGUCAAAUCUGGCAACCCUACAAACGAAACACAGCAGUACUCUAAAAAUCACUAAAGAUCAAUGUAAAUUUUCUCUGUAUGUAAAGGAGUGUUAAGGAGACUGAACACUGAGGAGAAAGCAAAGAGGAAUCACCUUGCUAAUGCCCAGUAAUACCUCCUAGAAGUCUUCAUUCAUCUCCUUUCCUGAAUAGUCUUAAGCUUUAUAACAACUGGCUUAGUUUCUUUGCUGUAUGCCCUCACUCAAUUCAAUAAGUAGGCAACUCCCAAACUCCACUUUUAUUAUUUCCAUCACUACCCUCACACUUUCCUCCUUUUGAUCAAUUCAACCUAUUACAGUUUUUGCUAAUAUUUUUUUCCUGAACCACUCAGAAAGGUUGCAAAUCAAGAAAAUGCACAUAUAGGCUAGCUGGUAUAGGUUUGCAGAACUACUGUGACCCUUUUCCAUGUAUCAUACCACUUUUAUUGAUGUGGAAAUGUAAGCUUUAGAGGAUAGUGAAAUUCAAGUAAAUUUAUCUCUUAUGCAGAAGCUCUUUAGUUUAAUUAGAUCCCAUUUGUCAAUUUUGGCUUUUGUUGCCAUUGUUUUUGGUGUUUUAGACAUGAAGUCCUUGCCCAUGCCUAUGUCCUGAAUGGUAUUGCCUAGGUUUUCUUCUAGGGUUUUUAUGGUUUUAGGUCUAACAUGUAAGUCUUUAAUCCAUCUUGAAUUAAUUUUUGUAUAAGGAGUAAGGAAGGGAUCCAGUUUCAGCUUUCUACAUAUGGCUAGCCAGUUUUCUCAGCACCAUUUAUUAAAUAGGGAAUCCUUUCCCCAUUUCUUGUGUUUGUCAGGUUUGUCAAAGAUCAGAUGGUCGUAGAUAUGUGGCAUUAUUUCUGAGGGCUGUGUUCUGUUCCAUUGAUCUAUAUCUCUGUUUUGGUACCAGUACCAUGCUGUUUUGGUUACUGUAGCCUUGUAGUAUAGUUUGGAGUCAGGUAGCGUGAUGCCUCCGGCUUUGUUCUUUUGGCUUAGGAUUGACUUGGUGAUGCGGGCUCUGUUUUGGUUCCAUAUGAACUUUAAAGUAGUUUUUUCCAAUUCUGUGAAGAAAGUCAUUGGUAGCUUGAUGGGGAUGGCAUUGAAUCUACAAAUUACCUUGGGCAGUAUGGCCAUUUUCAUGAUAUUGAUUCUUCCUACCCAUGAGCAUGGAAUGUUCUUCCAUUUGUUUGUAUCCUCUUUUAUUUCAUUGAGCAGUGGUUUGUAGUUCUCCUUGAAGAGGUCCUUCACAUCCCUUGUAAGUUGGAUUCCUAGGUAAGAGCUUCUGCACAGCAAAAGAAACCACCAUCAGAGUGAACAGGCAACCUACAAAAUGGGAGAAAAUUUUCGCAACCUACUCAUCUGACAAAGGGCUAAUAUCCAGAAUCUGCAAUGAACUCAAACAAAUUUACAAGAAAAAAACAAACAACCCCAUCAAAAAGUGGGCGAAGGAUAUGAACAGACACUUCUGAAAAGAAGACAUUUAUGCAGCCAAAAGACACAGGAAAAAAUGCUCAUCAUGACUGGCCAUCAGAGAAAUGCAAAUCAAAACCACAAUGAUAUACCAUCUCACACCAGUUAGAAUGGCGAUCAUUAAAAAGUCAGGAAACAACAGGUGCUGGAGAGGAUGUGGAGAAACAGAAACACUUUUACACUGUUGGUGGGACUGUAAACUAGUUCAACCAUUGUGGAAGUCAGUGUGGCGAUUCCUCAGGGAUCUAGAACUAGAAAUACCAUUUGACCCAGCCAUCCCAUUACUGGGUAUAUACCCAAAGGAUUAUAAAUCAUGCUGCUAUAAAGACACAUGCACACGUAUGUUUAUUGCGGCACUAUUCACAGUAGCAAAGACUUGGAACCAACCCAAAUGUCCAACAACAAUAGACUGGAUUAAGAAAAUGUGGCACAUAUACACCAUGGAAUACUAUGCAGCCAUAAAAAAUGAUGAGUUCAUGUCCUUUGUAGGGACAUGGAUGAAACUGGAAAUCAUCAUUCUCAGCAAACUAUCGCAAGGACAAAAAACCAAACACCGCAUGUUCUCAGUCAUAGGUGGGAAUUGAACAAUGAGAACACAUGGACACAGGAAGGGGAACAUCACACUCCAGGGACUGUUGUGGGGUCGGGGGAGGGGGGAGGGAUAGCAUUAGGGGAUAUGCCUAAUGCUAAAUGAUGAGUUAAUGGGUGCAGCACACCAACAUGGCACAUGUAUACAUAUGUAACAAACCUGCACAUUGUGCACAUGUACCCUUAAACUUAAAGUAUAAUAAUAAUAAAACAAAAUAAAUUUAUCUCCUGACUGCUGUUUUCAGUGCCAUUUUCAAAUAUAAACUACAGAGUCUCUUUCCAUAAUGGUCUAGAGAGAGAAGGAAGGACUAUUAUCUCUAACAACUGUUACACUUCAUUUUCUGGAAUUCUCUAUCAGCCACACAAACUGUGAUGAUAGAUAACAAAUAUACAAUAAGAGCACAUCAAACACUUAAGUUAUAAGUGUCUAAUACUCAUCUUGGGGUAGGAAAUAAUAUAUAAAGUUUGAGAUGUGUUCUACAGAAACAUUGUGAUGUAUUAAACUGUACUAAAUUUUGUGGGGCCCAGAUGUUGGCUUGAGUAUCGCAGCCAGCCUUACUAAUAACCUUAGGCAGGACACGAAGCUCUGUGCUCUUCCACUUUUCCAUCUGUAAAUUAAAGCCAUAAUGCCUGAAUUGUUUUGAUAACAGUGUGAUUGUGAGAACUAAAAUGAGAUAAUAUAUGUGGAUAAGGCUGGCCCUUGGAAUCAUUAGCAUUUUUACUAAGUAAAAGCAAAGAAGGAAGAGUAGGAACUGGUCUAGUUUUGCUCUAUACAAGGUAACUUAGGCUCUUGGAUAGGCUUUUAUGAGCUAUCAAGGCAAAUGGACCCAGAAAUAUCCUCAAGGGAUAAAAGAAAUGUUUGGUUAGAAGGCCACAUGUAAGCAAUGAUUUUUUUUUUUAAGUAGAAAGAAAAGAUGAAAAAUGCCAGGCCACAAGAUUAGCCCUCUUAGAGGCUCCUGGCAUCCUAACUGGGGAUCAUGGAUAUGUUAAAUAAUCAUGUUCGCUUCCCUUGAUUAGAUGGAAGCAUUAAGUCAUCUGAAACUAAAACUGAGUCACAGACAAACUUACGGGAAGAUACCCAAAGUCUGAGUGGUAAAGUAAACGAAAUGGUGAAAAAAAUGUGUAUGGAUUCUAUGUUUCCGUAUGUCCAUGUUAGCAAGACUUCCCCUAGUGAAUCAUGACCCAUUUCUGUUUUUAGAGUGCAGGUGACUGCCUUACCUUGGGCCCCUCUGUUUGAAUGUGAUCAUUUGGACAAACUCUAGACUCUAUAUGCCAUUAAAGUUUUCAUGAGGAAUUUUUUAAAAAAUCAAACAUCAUAUUUAACCCUCCAAGAAAGAAAAGAAAAGCAAUGUGAAUAGCCAAGUUAUCUAGCUACAGAUAACUCAUUUGUUUGGGUUUUAAACACACUAAAUUGUUUGCAAACCUAUCUGCCCUCGUGUGUGUGUGUAACAAAAUAUUCUUUGUCAGGACUUUAGUUGUGGUGAGAGCCUGGUGAGCAUAAUUUCCUAAGGUCUCUUUUGUUAACACAGUUUUGGAAAUCAUCUUUUAGAAAUGACCCCCUAUUCUGCAAACUACAAAACUGAAUUCGUGUCAUAAACUCUAUGCUUCAGUUGAAACACUCACCAUAUUCACUCACGUGUUAAACCCAUCUUUACCAAAUUAAAUUACUCCCUUCUGAAAACCACCAGUGGCUUUCCAUUUACUCACAAAGCUUUGUUUCCCAGAAGGGUCCUAGAUCAUUCUUAUGUCUUAAGGUAGCUUACCCCUUUUCUUCAUGUCACCACCUCAGGAAGACAUGCCCAGACCCAUCCAGUCCCUCACGUCAUUCUCUCUUCUUAGCAGGUAACACCAUCAGAAAUAUUACUUGUUCUACUUUUAGUUCUUUAAGGAAUUGCCAAACUGUUUUCCGCAGUGGCUGUGCUAGUUUACAUUCCCACCAGCAGUAACGUGUUCCCUGUUCGCCGUCUCCACGCCAAUAUCUACUGUUUUUUAUUUUUUGAUUAUGGCCAUUCUUGCAAGAGUAAGGUGGUAUCACAUUGUGGUUUGAUUUGCAUUUCCCUGAUCAUUAGUGAUGUUGAGCAUUUUUUCAUAUGUUUGUUGACCAUUUGUAUAUCUUAUUUUCAGAAUUGUCUAUUUAUGUCCUUAGCCAACUUUUUGAUGGGAUUGUUUCUUUCUUACUGAUUUGUUUGAUCCAGCAAUCCCACUACUGGGUAUCUACCCAGAAGAAAAUAAGUCAUUAUUCAAAAAAGAUACUUGCACAUGUAUGUUUAUAGCAGCACAAUUCACAAUUGCAAAAUUGUGGAACCAACCCAAAUACCCAUCAGUCAACGAGUGGAUAAAGAAACCAUGGUAUGUAUAUACCAUGGAAUACUACACAGCCAUAAAAAGAAUGAAUUAACAGCAUUCGUGGUGACCUGGGUGAGAUUGGAGACUAUUAUUCUAAGUGAUGUAACUCAGGAGUGGGAAGCCAAAUAUCAUAUAUUCUCAUUGAUAUGUGGGAGCUAAGCUAUAAGGACACAAAGGCAUAAGAAUGAUACGAUGGACUUUAGGGACUUGGGGGGAAGAGUGGGAGGGGGACGAGGGAUAAAAGACUACAAAUAUGGUACACUGUACACUGCUUGGGUGAUGGGUGCACCAAAAUCUCACAAAUCACCAAUAAAGAAUUUACUCAUGUAACCAAAUGCCACCUAUACCCCAAUAACUUAUGGAAAAAAAGAAAUAUAAUUUUUUGCUUGUUUAUAAGUUCUGAAAAGGCAGAGAUACUGUGUGUUAUGUUUACCCUAUAUCCUCACUGCCUAUAACAGUAACUAACAAGAAGUAGGGACGAAAUAAAUGUUGAAUAAAUGCCAUUGAGUAUAAGCAAAAUAAUAUGAUCAUCUCUAUAAAGAUAACUUCACAUGACACAUUUAAAAGGCUGUGGAUAAGAACAGCAUCAUUAGAAUUAUUGUGUUCCCAGUCAUGAUAGUUACUUUAAAGCAGACACUAGUUAUUUGGAAAUAUCCAUUGGCCAAAAGAAAAAAAAAGGCAUUUUUGUUUAAAAAUGCAACACGUUCUAUAUUCAGCUUGACUCUCUCUUCUUAUGCUCUUCUAAGCCUUUUAGCAAGAGACAUUUAACACCUGGCUAAAGUUUUGUCCUCUGAUAAAAAUCUAGGAAUAACUUUUCUCCUCACUAAAUUGCUCUACAGUUCCUGCUUUCAGAAGGGGUUAGGAGGUUAGAGGGGAGCAAGUGUGUUAGGAAUAGAGCAGGGGCUUAGGAGGUUAGGAAUGGAGCGAGUGUCUCAGAAGUCAACACAGGAAGCUUGGAAGCUGUUAAUUGGCCUUGUUUCUAUCUCAUAACAACCGGUUGCUGGUAAAUGAGGGUACCAGUUGAGGGGAUGGGAGUCAAUUAUAUUGUUUUAGGCAUUUGUUACAAGGAGAAAACCACCUAAGACCUUAGGUGGCCAAAUAUGUAACCUGGGUUCUUCUCAAUAUUUCUGGAAGCAAUGAGCAAUGGUUGCAGUAGCAGUUUGGUUUGUGUUUGUUUAUUUGUUUGUAAUCUUUGCUGUUGCUGUUGCUUCUGCACCAGGAAUGGUGCAUUGGUGCAAGAUGGCAGAGUCUGCUUUAUAAGGCAGAAACUUUGUUAUUUAAUAUAUUAGAGGCUUUGGCCCUUAGGUUUAUGGACAGGAGUAAUUAAUGACUUUGUUCCUUUCUUGGUUGGAAAGUCUUUUUCAAAUUGGUAAAUACUUAAAACACCAAUAACAACAAAAACUCAGUGGCAAGUUGUUGGCAAUGGACAGAGAAACUUAGGCACACAGGAACUCUCUCAAGACGAACUUAGCUGAUUUAGCAGAAGUGAACAGAACUGAAAUGUAAAUCUGUUCAGGGUGGGAUGCCAAUGAGAAGUAAGCCAAAUCUUGAGUUGAAAGAUGGGACAUAAAAUUGUUUAUAUGGUAUGAUUGCAAUGUUGCUUCACAUGCAUGUUCUUUCUUGCUUACAUACACACAACAUAAAUCAUAAAUAUACAUAUAUUGCAGACACAACACUAAAAGAAACACAUCAGAAUGUAAAGACCAGUUACUUCUGGGGAGUUGGAUUCUGAGUGAUUUUGUUUUCUUUAUUCUCUGUUCUCCCAUUUUCCUUGCCAAGCUUCCGCUUUCGGUCUCUUCAUAUCCAGCUCUGCUACCAAAGAAACUCUGAUGCUUCUCCAGCCCAAGCCAGCCAAGUCCUGAAGUAUCCAAGUUAACCUCUGACUUCCUGGGCUCAGAAAUGUUUUGUUGCUUCUGUUUGUUCUCCGUCCCUGGGUCCACGCUCACAGGAUUAAAUUGUUCUUCACAUUAAACUCCACUUAAUAGUUUCCUUGUCUAGCACUCAGGUAGUUUUAAAACGUGGCCAAAAAUUAUUUGACACUACUCCUAGCAAGAGAUGGGGUCUUUGUCCCCUCCCCUUGAAUAUGGGUAGUCUUGUGAUUGUGAAUGUUUCAACCAGGUGAGUGUGGUGGGAAUGACACUGUGUGGCUUAUGAAGCUGGGACAUGAGGGGAAGUGCAGUUUCGAGCUUGUUUCUGGAACCCUCACUCUUGGAGGUCUAAGCCACCAUAUAAAGUCUGACUACCUUGAAGCUGUCUGCUGUGAAUUAGCUCAGGCUCCCUGGAGAGACUGUGCGUAGGCACUGAGCCCAAUAGUGAGUGAAUGAGCCUUCAGAUGAUUCCAGCUCUUUCAGUUUUCUCUCAGCCUUUGAAUCUUCCUGGCUGACACCACAGACAAGGAGAAGCAGGGUGAAGCUGUUUUUACUGUGCAUUUUCUGAAUUUCUGAGGCCAGAAUCUGUGAGCUUAAUAAAAUGGUGGUUGUAAGUGGCACUGCCAGAUUUUGGGGUGAUUUGUUACACAGCAAUUGUAACCAGAACAGGAAAUUUGAAUCCAACUUGAGCCAGACUUCUUACAAAGGACUGAAGUCAGCUAUUUUCUUUCUAUGGCCCAGGAGCUAAAUGCAACUAUUCUCCCAUGCUAACAUCAUGCUCUUCCCAAAUGUUCCAUUAACUCAAGCAGCCUGAAAGAGAAACUCUGCUUCCUAUCACAAAUAUGUCCAAGGAGCCCCUAUACAUAGUUAGAGAUUUCUCUUAAUAAGUCAUAUCCUUCCCUUAGUAAGUCAUAUCCUUCACCUGUGAAACUUCUGGAUCCUGGGAUUAAAUGACUCAAUUUGCUUUGCUUUCCACGUUCUAGAAAUUGUCUCACUUCCUAAAAAGCAUGAAUGAAGUUGUCUUCUGGUCCAAUUUGGAUUUAGCUGAAGAUUCUAACCUGAACGUUUUCUUCAGUCAGGACCUAAGGACACAUUUACCCUGAAUGUCAGAUCCCAGAAGAGAGGACAAAGUAAAGAGUAUGGCUGUGUCGACCAGGCUAGAAUGAAGUGGCAUGAUCUUGGCUCACUGCAACCUCCACCUUCCGGAUUCAAGUGAUUCUCCUGUCUCAGCCUCCCAAGUAGCUGGGAUUACAGGUGCCUGCAAUCACGCCCAGCUAAUUUUUGUAUUUUUAGUAGAGACAGGGUUUUGCCAUGUUGGCCAGGCUGGUCUCGAACUCCUGACCUCAGGUGUCAUUUUAAUUCUAUUCACUUUAUGGAAAAAAAAAGGAUGAAAUUGAGCUCUCUUUGGACCAUACCCAAAAGGUAGAGUCGCCUCCAAUCCAUUUUUUACAUGGCAGUUGGAAAGAUAUUUUUCAACAGCAAAUCUGAUUAUGUUUCCCUUGCAUUUCAAACUCUUCAACAACUUCCAAUUGACAUUCCCAUAAAAGCCAACUCUCUUCCACCAAACGUUCUUCCAACUCCACCCUGCCUCUUUAGUUCCACCUCCUCUCACACACCUUGCUCACUACUGGUGAGCAAUUUGUGUUUGUCUUCAUGCUUUAUGAUUUUCAAAUCCCUAGAAUACUCUCUCCCUAACUCCUCCUUCAUCUAGUGAGUCUUACAAUUUCAGUCUUCAUUUAAACAUUUUCUUAUGAAACCCUUCCCUGACUAUGUUAACCCUCCAUACCAGCCCACAUCCACACACUUUGUACUUCUUCCUUUCAUCACAUUUACAACACUUUCAAUUAUUUUUUCAUCAUCAUUCCCUAUGAUAGAUUGCAGGUUCCCAAAGGACUGGAAAUGCUUCUGUUCCCAACACACUCUAUUCCCAGUACACAUGAUGUACACGGUGCCCAAAGUUCUACAGAUGAAUCAAUACAUUUUUUAUUUAAUAAAGCAUCAAAAUAGUUUCAUAAAAGACAUUUUCAUCCAGUCCCUGAGAGCUGCAUCUAUUGAUUUAAAGCACCUAACUUAGCACAUUUUAUUUCUUCAAACAGAAGCAUGAAUAAAGCAGAGUAGUUUAGUUGGAAUCACAAGUAUGUCCUUAUCAGCAGAUGAAACAAACACAGACUUUCUACAAAGAACCCUUAAAACAUUUUCCUCCAGAUCACCUCAUUCCCACAGGUCAAGUUCAAAUUUUAUUGAGGUGUAAUUAUAUAGAUACAGUAAAAUAAAUAUAUGUUAUGGAAUGUUGACACCAUCAAGCUCACUCUUUAGUGAUUAAGUUCAUUUUGAUGAUACAGUUUUUAAAGAAUAUAUGUUUAAUAUGUUGAUCAUUCAGACUUUAUAUACAAGUUUCAAGAAGCUGAAAUUUGUAUGCCUGCAGAUGAAAAUUUCAGUAAGAAACAAAGCAGUUCUUGUUAGAAAAAGACUCAUAAUUUGGAGCUAGUAUGUAUGUUGGAAUGUGAAGUUAUGUGAUAGGGCCACAAGCCAAAUAUAAAGUCUUUAUAGGAAGUCUCUGUGCCUCAGAUCUUCUGUCUCUCCUGGCAUAGACAGAAAACUAUUCCUCCUUUGACUCCAACUCUUCAGUGAAAUGGGGAAUUAUUGUCUGCAGUAUGUAGAAUAGAGGGAAUUGACUAAGGAACUCACCUAAGAUGAAUAUAACAUAAAGUAAGACACUAAAAUUAUGGCAGCUAAAUGAAUCUCUACAUUCUGAGUAGUAAGACCCACAUGAUUAUUUUAGCUCACCCUAUUCAAGAACUAGAAUAUAACAGCCAAACUUAAAGGCUAUACCUCCCCUACAUUCAGGAGAUCGAAGUUUUCUUCUAUAGAGAAGUUGCAUCAAGGCCGGGCGCAGUGGCUUAUGCCUGUAAUCCCAGCACUUUGGGAGGCCAAGGUGGGCAGAUCACCUGAGGUCAGGAGUUCAAGACCAGCCUGGCCAACAUGGUGUAACCCCCUUCUACUAAAAAUACAAAAAAUAGCUGGGUGAGGUGGUGCAUGCUUGUAGUCCCAGCUACUAAGGAGGCUGAGACAGGAGGAUUGCUUGAACCCAGGAAGCAGAGGAUGCAGUGAGCUGAGAUCACGCCACUGCACUCCAGCCUGAGUGACAGAGAGAGAGACUCUGACUCAAAAAAAAAAAAAAAAAAAAGG